rnacentral:rRNA from 1 species
CAUCCUGCCCAGUGAGCUAAGGCUUAAACGGCCGCGGUACCCUGACCGUGCAAAGGUAGCACAAUCAAUUGCCUUUUAAUUGGAGGCCAGUAUGAAUGGACACAUGAGAAGCCCAUUGUCUCGAUAUUACCUAUAAAAAUUAGUCCCCAGGUGAAGAAACCUGGAUUUCCUUGAAAGACAAGAAGACCCUAUUGAGUUUUAUUUACGCCUUCUUCUCGCAGCUGUCCCAGACAAGCCUCGACAAGAAACCUAAAUUUGGUUGGGGCAACCCGGGGUUAAUAGACGCACCCCCAUCUACAAAGAACACUCUUCCACCUAAGAUCCGAUAUACCGAACAAGAAAUAACACUACCAUAGGGAUAACAGGCUAAUUUCUCUAGAGAGCCCACAUUGACAGAGAAGUUUGGCACCUCGAUGUUGGCUUAGGGUAACCCUUAAAUGCAGAAGUUUAAAUCGGUGGGUUUGUUCAACCCAUAAAUCCCUACGUGAUCUGAG